ensembl:snRNA U2 U2 spliceosomal RNA
AUCGCUUCUCGGCCUUUUGGCUAAGAUUAAGUGUAGUAUCUGUUCUUAUCAGUUUAAUAUAGUUGAAUGUGUCUAUUAUUUAACUCUUU